GACGAACGCUGGCGGCGUGCUUAACACAUGCAAGUCGAACGGAAAGGCCUGCUUUCCCUUGUGGAUUGCGGGUACUCGAGUGGCGAACGGGUGAGUAACACGUGAGUGAUCUGCCCCCAACUUGGGUAUAAGCCUGGGAAACUGGGUCUAAUUCCCGAUAGGACUGCAGGGUGGUGCCUGUGGUGGAAAACGAUUUUCUAGUGGUUGGGGAUGAGCUCGCGGCCUAUCAGCUUGUUGGUGGGGUAAUGGCCUACCAAGGCGGCGACGGGUAGCCGGCCUGAGAGGGUGGACGGCCACAUUGGGACUGAGAUACGGCCCAGACUCCUACGGGAGGCAGCAGUGGGGAAUAUUGCACGAUGGGCGGAAGCCUGAUGCAGCGACGCCGCGUGGGGGAUGACGGCCUUCGGGUUGUAAACUCCUUUCGACCGCGAGGAAGCCACCUGGUUGGAAGGGUGGUGACGGUAGUGGUAGAAGAAGCACCAGCUAACUACGUG
rnacentral:rRNA from 1 species